rnacentral:lncRNA from 1 species
CCCUUUUAAACAUGGAUGAGGCCUCGGUUCAAUGAGGGCCCCAGGCAGGGGACGGCCACACCCAG